UACGGAGGGGGCUAGCGUUGUUCGGAAUUACUGGGCGUAAAGCGCGCGUAGGCGGAUCAGUCAGUCAGGGGGUGAAAAUCCCCGGGGCUCAACCCCGGAACUGCCUUUGAUACUGCUGAUCUCGAGGACAGGAGAGGAGAGUGGAAUUCCCAGUGUAGAGGUGAAAUUCGUAGAUAUUGGGAAGAACACCAGAGGCGAAGGCGGCUCUCUGGCCUGUUUCUGACGCUGAGGUGCGAAAGCGUGGGGAGCGAACAGGAUUAGAUACCCCUGUAGUCC
rnacentral:rRNA from 1 species